rnacentral:rRNA from 1 species
AUUGAACGCUGGCGGCAUGCUUUACACAUGCAAGUCGAACGGCAGCGCGGGGAGGCUUGCUUCUUUGCGGUCGCGUGGCGAACGGGAGUGACAUACAGCUGAACUUGUUGUGAGGAGGGGGAUAACCAGGCGAAAGGGUGGCUAUUACCGCAUAUAUUCUGAGGAAGAAAGCUGAGGAGCUGGGGAUAGUCCUGGCGCUUCUUGAGCGGCCGAUGUCGGAUUAGCUAGUUGGUGAGGUAAAGGCUCACCAAGGCGAAGAUCUGUAGCGGGUCUGAGAGGAUGAUCCGCUACACUGGAACUGAGACACGGCCCAGACUCCUACGGGAGGCAGCAGUGGGGAAUCUUGGACAAUGGGGGCAAGCCUGAUCCAGCCAUGCCGCGUGUAUGAAGAAGGCCUUAGGGUUGUAAAGUACUUUUGUUAGGGAAGAAAAGUCAGCUGAGAAUAAUGGCUGAUACUGACGGUACCUAAAGAAUAAGCACCGGCUAACUACGUG